GAUGAAGAACGCAGCGAAAUGCGAUAAGUAAUGUGGAUUGCAGAAUUCCGUGAAUCAUCGAAUCUUUGAACGCACAUUGCGCCCCUUGGUAUUCCAUGGGGCAUGCCUGUUCGAGCGUCAUUUGUACCUUCAAGCUCUGCUUGGUGUUGGGUGUUUGUCUCGCCUCUGCGUGUAGACUCGCCUCAAAACAAUUGGCAGCCGGCGUAUUGAUUUCGGAGCGCAGUACAUCUCGCGCUUUGCACUCAUAACGACGACGUCCAAAAGUACAUUUUUACACUCUUGACCUCGGAUCAGGUAGGGAUACCCGCUGAACUUAAGCAUAUCAAUAAGCGGAGGA
rnacentral:misc_RNA from 1 species